rnacentral:rRNA from 1 species
AGUGAACGCUGGCGGUAGGCCUAACACAUGCAAGUCGAACGGCAGCACAGGAGAGCUUGCCCUCUGGGUGGCGAGUGGCGGACGGGUGAGGAAUACAUCGGAAUCUGCCCAGUCGUGGGGGAUAACGUAGGGAAACUUACGCUAAUACCGCAUACGACCUUCGGGUGAAAGAGGGGGAUCGCAAGACCUCUCGCGAUUGGAUGAGCCGAUGUCGGAUUAGCUAGUUGGCGGGGUAAUGGCCCACCAAGGCGACGAUCCGUAGCUGGUCUGAGAGGAUGAUCAGCCACACUGGAACUGAGACACGGUCCAGACUCCUACGGGAGGCAGCAGUGGGGAAUAUUGGACAAUGGGCGCAAGCCUGAUCCAGCCAUACCGCGUGGGUGAAGAAGGCCUUCGGGUUGUAAAGCCCUUUUGUUGGGAAAGAAAUCUUUCAGGCUAAUACCCUGGGAGGAUGACGGUACCCAAAGAAUAAGCACCGGCUAACCUCGUG